GACGAACGCUGGCGGCGUGCUUAACACAUGCAAGUCGAACGAUGAAGAAGAGAAACGCGAACUUCGGUUCAAAUUUCACUUCGGAUUAGUGGCGGACGGGUGAGUAACGCGUGAGCAACCUACCUCUUACAAAGGGAUAGCCUCGGGAAACCGUGAUUAAUACCAUAUGACACCUUCAUAAGGCAUCUUAAGAAUGUUAAAGCUACGGCGGUAAGAGAUGGGCUCGCGUCCCAUUUGCUAGUUGGUGAGGUAACGGCCCACCAAGGCGACGAUGGGUAACCGGCCUGAGAGGGUGAACGGUCACAUUGGAACUGAGACACGGUCCAAACUCCUACGGGAGGCAGCAGUGGGGAAUAUUGCACAAUGGAGGGAACUCUGAUGCAGCGACGCCGCGUGAGCGAUGAAGGAAUUCGUUUCGUAAAGCUCUGUUCUAUGGGAAGAAAAGGACUGUACCAUAGGAGAAAGCCCCGGCUAAAUACGUG
rnacentral:rRNA from 1 species